AUUAAAAUGCCUGAUUAAAAGGGUUAUCUUGAUAGGAUAAAUAAUGUAUAAAUUAGUAUACUUUUAAUA
rnacentral:tRNA from 1 species